UAUUAUUAUUAUUUUAUUUAUUAUGAUUUUUAAUAUAUUUGAUAAUAAUGAUUAUUAUUAUUUGAUUUGCUAUGAAUCUUUAUUAUUAUUAUUAUUAUUAUUACUAUUAUUAUUAUUAUUAUUAUAAAAAAGAUUAUGAUGAUUGUUGGGAUUACUUUUGUUUCACUUCUUUUCUGGAAAUACUAUAGGCAUGAAACGUUAUGGGCAUUAACUAGUUUCCCACAAAUUUUCUCCUCCACUUUUGAGGUCAGUGCAUCCAUUUUAAAGUGAGCAUUGGGUACACUUCUAAAAGGUCAUCCAUUUUUUCUUUUUUCAUAAUUUUUAUAGCACACAAACCAUACACUGGGGGGGUUGGGUUAAACUCUGGUUGUACGCUUUUUUUGUAAAAGUGAUGUUCCUGAUUAAAUUGGAGAUCCUGUGGCAGUUAUCAGUUUUAUCUUUUUGCUCUGUACACACUGGAGGGGGGUGGGGGUCUUGGGUAAAUGAGUACCAUUUGUGAGCUCGUGAAAAUGAAAAAAAAAAUAGAUGACCUUCUAAAAGCUUCAGUAUGAAAAGGCAUGAUAAGUCCCAUAACUUAAGAAAAAAAAAAAGAGUAUAUAAAACUAUAUAAAAAUAUAAAGGGCAUGAUAUAUCAGAUAUAUAAGAAGGCUACAUGCAAAGAAGAGGCUGAUAAUACUCUUAGCACACGCUUCUAGCUCCUUCCUCCCCCCCUCUAAAAAAGAUAAAGAUCACUUUGCUUUUAUCACUCUGCCGCCCCCUCACAGCAAAUGGCUGAAGCAACACAGCACACACUAUAUCAUAGCAUAGCAUACUUCAAGCAGUAGAUGAACUAGCAAUAAGGAAACACUAGCACCUAUUCAGAUUGAGCCCUUCAAGAUUCGGUAAAGAGCUUUAAGGUGGAAUCCCCUCAUCACUCGACAUUGCGAGCCCACACCAGGCGGCCCAAAGGUUAAGCCAAAACCUGUCUUCGCGAAAGUGCCACAUCCCAUUAGGGUCUCGUCUAGGCUGCCAGGUGUGCCUAACGAAGGCCCUGAAUGGCAUUACGGUCGUCGUACCUGAAGGCACUACAGACGUACGGAAUGUAUAGGACUCGAGGGCUAGUGUUGUCAUAAAUUGAAGUGCUUUUGAUAGAAUAUAUAUACUUUUGAGAACAAUUUUUUUUUUUUUUUUUUUUUUUUCAUUAGUGUUAUUCUUGUAUGUAGUUGUCCAGAUUCUUGUAAUAGGUUUUAAUGUUAGUGAUUCAUGUCUGUCUAUAUGAUAUAGUACAAGAGAUUUCAGUCAUAAAAACACUAUUUUUGCUAAGCUGUGACUGAAACAUUUUACAUAUGGGUGCUCAAUUUUAUUUGUUAAUUGUUUGAUACAGUCAAAUGAUGUAAAGAAUCCCCGUACAACUUCUUAAUGCAUAAGUGUCCCUGUAAUUAUCAUAUUUAAAAAGAAAUAAAAAUGUUAUGAAUUUCAAUAAAGGUUCACAAAAUAAAAGACUGAUGCUAUACCAGGUUUUACAAUUGUAUGAUGAUUGUUGUAAAAGAUGUCCUUAUAAAUAUAUGUCUGCCCGUUUUUUAUGUGCUGCUUGACCCAUUUUAUUUGUUUGAAUCCUCUUUUUGUUGCUUAUGUUAUUUGCAACUUUCAUCUGAAAUUCAUCCUUUGAAAUUUUGUUAAGAUUUUAUUACCUAUGUUCACAAUGUUUAUGUAGUUGGUCCUUUAAAAUGCCAUUUUUUUUUGCAUAUUUUUUUCACUAAGUCAUUUCUGAAUGUACUCUAUGCAAACAUUGUUUAAUAGACAUUUCCUUUUUGUUAUUAUAUGUCUCUACUUCUCUUUCCAUCAUUCAAAUUCUUUCCGGGAAAUGAAUCAUGUUUGUAUAAUUUUUUUAAAAGGUUGUUCAAACUUAACAUGACCAUGACAAAUAAUGUGAACUGUUGUGACUACUAUUGUAAGAACAUUUUAAAACCAGAAAUGAUGAAUGACAGUGAUAAACUCCACAAAGGAAAUGAUGUAGUUAAUGUUGUUUAAUUAAAUCUUCCAUCAGAA